CGGGAGGCAGCAGUGGGGAAUAUUGCACAAUGGGCGAAAGCCUGAUGCAGCGACGCCGCGUGAGGGAUGACGGCCUUCGGGUUGUAAACCUCUUUCAGCAGGGAAGAAGCGAAAGUGACGGUACCUGCAGAAGAAGCGCCGGCUAACUACGUGCCAGCAGCCGCGGUAAUACGUAGGGCGCAAGCGUUGUCCGGAAUUAUUGGGCGUAAAGAGCUCGUAGGCGGUCUGUCGCGUCGGAUGUGAAAGCCCGGGGCUUAACCCCGGGUCUGCAUUCGAUACGGGCAGACUAGAGUGUGGUAGGGGAGAUCGGAAUUCCUGGUGUAGCGGUGAAAUGCGCAGAUAUCAGGAGGAACACCGGUGGCGAAGGCGGAUCUCUGGGCCAUUACUGACGCUGAGGAGCGAAAGCGUGGGGAGCGAACAGGAUUAGAUACCCUGGUAGUCCACGCCGUAAACGGUGGGAACUAGGUGUUGGCGACAUUCCACGUCGUCGGUGCCGCAGCUAACGCAUUAAGUUCCCCGCCUGGGGAGUACGGCCGCAAGGCUAAAACUCAAAGGAAUUGACGGGGGCCCGCACAAGCAGCGGAGCAUGUGGCUUAAUUCGACGCAACGCGAAGAACCUUACCAAGGCUUGACAUACACCGGAAAGCAUUAGAGAUAGUGCCCCCCUUGUGGUCGGUGUACAGGUGGUGCAUGG
rnacentral:rRNA from 1 species